rnacentral:rRNA from 1 species
UGGGGAAUAUUGGACAAUGGGGGAAACCCUGAUCCAGCAAUGCCGCGUGAGUGAUGAAGGCCCUAGGGUUGUAAAGCUCUUUUACCCGGGAUGAUAAUGACAGUACCGGGAGAAUAAGCCCCGGCUAACUCCGUGCCAGCAGCCGCGGUAAUACGGAGGGGGCUAGCGUUGUUCGGAAUUACUGGGCGUAAAGCGCACGUAGGCGGCUUUGUAAGUUAGAGGUGAAAGCCCGGGGCUCAACCCCGGAACUGCCUUUAAGACUGCAUCGCUGGAAUCCGGGAGAGGUGAGCGGAAUUCCGAGUGUAGAGGUGAAAUUCGUAGAUAUUCGGAAGAACACCAGUGGCGAAGGCGGCUCACUGGACCGGUAUUGACGCUGAGGUGCGAAAGCGUGGGGAGCAAACAGGAUUAGAUACCCCCGUAGUCC